GGCUUAUGCUGUGCCUGUUACAUUCUGUGAUGACUCUGGAUAACUUUACUGAUCGCAGUCGGCCUUGUGUGUCGGCGACGGAUCUUUCAAAUGUCUGCCCUAUCAAUUUGUUGGUAGGUGAUUUGCCUACCAUGAUGAUAACGGGUAACGGGGAAUCAGGGUUCGAUUCCGGAGAGGGAGCCUGAGAAAUGGCUACCACAUCCAAGGACGGCAGCAGGCGCGAAAAUUACCCACUCCCAGCACGGGGAGGUAGUGACGAAAAAUACGGAUACGGGACUCAAUUGAGGCUCCGUAAUUCGAAUGAGUACAAUUUAAAUCCUUUAACGAGGACCAAUUGGAGGGCAAGUCUGGUGCCAGCAGCCGCGGUAACUCCAGCUCCAAAAGCGUAUAUUAAAGUUGCUGCAGUUAAAAAGCUCGUAGUUGGAUCUGGGUAGUGCGAUCGCAUGCUGUUGCUUGUUCACGGUCUUGGUUACGAUCAGGGCAGUGGUCAGCUCGGCGUAGUGGUUGUGCAACCUUUCAGCCGUGUCUGUGUUUUAUUAAACAGGUGUCGAUGGGUUAAUGAGUAUUGUAUCUUAUUGACCUGUUGGCAUGCUUUCGGAUGCCUUUAAACGGGUGUCGGGGGCGGACGGCAUCUUUACUUUGAACAAAUUUGAGUGCUCAAAGCAGGCCUAUGCGCCUGAAAAUUCUUGCAUGGAAUAAUGAAAUAGGACUUCGGUUCUAUUUUGUUGGUUUUCGGAUCCGAAGUAAUGGUUAAGAGGGACAGACGGGGGCAUUUGUAUGGCGGUGUUAGAGGUGAAAUUCUGGGAUCGCCGCCAGACAAACUACAGCGAAAGCAUUUGCCAAGAAUGUUUUCAUUGAUCAGGAGCGAAAGUCAGAGUUUCGAAGACGAUCAGAUACCGUCGUAGUUCUGACCAUAAACGAUGCCAACUGACGAUCCGCGUUGGUUCUAUAAUUGACAUCGCGGGCAGUCCCCGGGAAACCUUUAAGUCUUUGGGCUCCGGGGGGAGUAUGGUUGCAAAGCUGAAACUUAAAGGAAUUGACGGAAGGGCACCACCAGGAGUGGAGCCUGCGGUUUAAUUCGACUCAACACGGGAAAACUCACCCGGCCCGGACACUGUGAGGAUUGACAGAUUGAAAGCUCUUUCUUGAUUCGGUGGUUGGUGGUGCAUGGCCGUUCUUAGUUGGUGGAGCGAUUUGUCUGGUUAAUU
rnacentral:rRNA from 1 species